ACAAGUUGAAGCCAGCUGAACCCUAUUAGUCCCUUCAAAAUACUUGAAUUUCUCUAGUUUCCAUAAACUGUGUCAGGCUGAGACACAUAUUCACUCCUCCCCCUCCCUGCCCCCAUGCUUGUCUAGCUAAUUAGGGGCACACUUGCACUGUUUUAAUGAGCUCAGGGGUAAACAUUUACAUCCAGAGCCCGGUGCCUAAGAUACAAUCAGCUUCUACAACAGCUGUGGGCAGUCACAGCCUGUGUUACUCCCAGACGUUUAUAGGCUCAUCUCCCUUGUUCUGCUUGGAACAUUCUUUCAUUGUAAGGGUUUAUUGGAUAUUAUGAAUAUUUCCAUUUUGAAAAUAUUUAGAAGACAUUCAGAUGCUUUGGACUGACAGAAUUUGUUACACAUUUCUCUAUUUCACAGCCUUAUGCUCCAGAACUCAGACUUGUCAUGUUGCCUGUUGUAUUCCACUGGGACAGAUUUUAUGGUGUUUCAGGUUACACUCUGCAGAAGACAUUCAAAUCCAUUUCUUUAGCCUUAUCUUUACAGUGUGAUGUGCAGUCCCUUUCUCAGUUCUUUGCUCAGGUUUUUAUUCAUGGAGAGGAAUGAAGAGCUAAAGAUUGUGAAAAUUCCGUCUGGCAUUAUGGCAGUCAGGAUCUGUAUCCCCAAAACUGUAGCGGAGUCAUUCAAUGAAUAGUGAUGCUCUGAGCUGAGUCCCUCUGACAUGAGACAAAACCCUAUAACUUGUCUAGACCUCUAAUUAAUUUGUUGUUGAAACAAAAACUAUUAUGCCUUCAGUUAUCGGAAUCUCCUUUAAUUAUGUCUGUUGUUGCUCUAGAGUUCUUUGAGUUUUACACUGCAAGUAGAUAGAAGCUUGUAAGACAUAUGAAUAUUAAAAUCCUGCAUUUGCCAAAAUUACCUGCAGUUAUGGUAAAUAUUUAUUUGUGGCAGGCAGAGCUAGAUUUACCUGUAAAGAAAAGCAUGUGAUAAUUAUUUGUAUGUGGCUUGUCAUGCUAGAUUUCUAAAGUAAUUGAGAGGUUAUAUUAUUUUA